ensembl:misc_RNA 7SK 7SK RNA
GAAUGUAAUGGCACUCUGGCUGUGACAUCUGUUACCCCAUUGAUUACCUGGGUUGGUUGGGCUGAUCUGGCUGGCUAGGCAGGUAUCCCUUUCAUGUGCAUCCUUCCUGUGCUCAGUUGAAGAGGAUGACCUUCCCUCAUAAAGGGGGACCAUUCUUUGGUCAAGGGUAUACCAGCAGCUAUGUUCCCCUGCUAGAAUUUCCAAGUAAGCUUUCAAAGAUGCAAAUUCAACCCUCUCUUUGACUGUUAAAACACACGGGCCUGUUUUAAAUCUGCAAUAUUCAAUAGAGAUACAUCCUGAUGUGCCAAUCUUCAAUU